rnacentral:rRNA from 1 species
AUCGCGCGAGUGCCUGUGCGAGCUGAUCACCUGCCGCGUGUGUGAGAAGGUCUUCGGAUUGUAAAGCACUUUAUGUUGGGAGGAAGGGCGUUAAGUUAAUACCUUGCUGUUUUGACGUUACCAACAGAAUAAGCACCGGCUAACUUCGUGCCAGCAGCCGCGGUAAUACGAAGGGUGCAAGCGUUAAUCGGAAUUACUGGGCGUAAAGCGCGCGUAGGUGGUUCAGCAAGUUGGAUGUGAAAUCCCCGGGCUCAACCUGGGAACUGCAUCCAAAACUACUGAGCUAGAGUACGGUAGAGGGUGGUGGAAUUUCCUGUGUAGCGGUGAAAUGCGUAGAUAUAGGAAGGAACACCAGUGGCGAAGGCGACCACCUGGACUGAUACUGACACUGAGGUGCGAAAGCGUGGGGAGCAAACAGGAUUAGAUACCCGAGUAGUCCA